UACGUAGGGGGGCAAGCGUUUGUCCGGAUUUAUUGGGCGUAAAGAGCGUGUAGGCGGCCAUACAGGUCCGUUGUGAAAACUGGAGGCUCAACCUCCAGACGUCGACGGAAACCGGUAUGGCUAGAGUCCGGAAGAGGAGAGUGGAAUUCCUGGUGUAGCGGUUGAAAUGCGCAGAUAUCGAGGAAGAACACCCGUGGCGAAGGCGGCUCUCUGGGACGGUACUGACGCUGAGACGCGAAAGCGUGGGGAGCGAACAGG
rnacentral:rRNA from 1 species